rnacentral:rRNA from 1 species
CACGUAAGUACCUACCCUUCGGACGGGAACAACUACUGGAAACGGUAGCUAAUACCCGAUAUGCUGAGGAGUGAAAGGAGAAAUCCACCGAAGGAGGGACUUGCGUCUGAUUAGCUUGUUGGUGGGGUAAUGGCCUACCAAGGCGACGAUCAGUAGCUGGUCUGAGAGGAUGAUCAGCCACACUGGGACUGAGACACGGCCCAGACUCCUCCGGGAGGCAGCAGUGGGGAAUAUUGCGCAAUGGAGGAAACUCUGACGCAGCCAUGCCGCGUGAGUGAAGAAGGCCUUAGGGUUGUAAAA